AUAUAGCUCCGUGGUAGAGUGCAUGCUUAGCAGGCAGGAGGUCCUGGGCUCAAUUCCCAGUAU
rnacentral:tRNA from 1 species